AAGGCUUCACUGUGAUGGAAGUAGAACAAGCUGGGUUUACUGCCCUUGUUAUAUAAAAUAUAGUAUUGAUUCUAUGCUCAAGAAUUGAGGCUCCACUGAAUCUCAGUUCUUAAUAAUUCAUAUAAACCACAAUGGAAAGGUAUUUGCCUAAUCUGCCUUGAAGAGGACACAUGGCAAUGCCGCUCCAGGGACAGCAUUAUCUUCUUGGCUUACCAAGAGCAGUUUGCUCAUCCCAGCAUCUCGUGGCAUCACUGGAAAAGUACCCACUGUUUUCAGAUAGAACUGGAUCGGACUCCAGGAUACUCUGAAGAGACACAGUCACCAAUUCAUUGAUGCUGUCAACAGGUAGAUCCUUCAUCUGCUGGUGCCCCUAAGAGUCUCAGAUGGGACAGCUUCACCACUGGACUCUGUGGCUCCAUUGGUGGAGUCAUUUGCUGGGAUUCACCUCCAGAAAGAGACCUGAAAAUCAUUCCAAAAUCUGCAUAAGCUUACGGGGGGGCUAGAGUGGCUAAGAAAGAUCACUGGAAAAUGGCUAAUGUAUGUAUGCUGCCACUGUACAUACCACUGUCCUUGCUGCUCUCUGGGAAGGUGCUGGGACAGUACAAGAGUUGCUGACAGAGAAAAGCAAGAGAAGGGAAAAUGCAUCUGUCAGGAAGAGAUGCAGUCAUGACUCUGGCUUGGUAUGAUAAAUAGCACGUGCUGCUCAGAGAUCUGGUUGUGGAUGGGCCAUAUUCCCCUGAUCUCUCUCCAGCUUGCUCCUGGAGGUCCUUCUUCUGUGGUUGAUGUGAACAAGUCUGGUUCUUUAUAUCGCCUCUACGCAAUUGGGAUCUACUGCACUGCAAAUUAAGUUAGAAACAGGAACAUUUCAGGGUUGGGGAGAGUGAUCUGGGAUUUUUCUGAUGCCAAAAGUUCCUGAUCUCAUUUGUAUAGAUAAU